rnacentral:rRNA from 1 species
GAAACGACUGCUAAUACCGCAUGAAGCAUAGGGGUCGCAUGAUCUUUAUGCCAAAGAUUUAUCGCUUCAAGAUGGCCUCGCGUCUGAUUAGCUGGUUGGCGGGGUAACGGCCCACCAAGGCGACGAUCAGUAGCCGGACUGAGAGGUUGAACGGCCACAUUGGGACUGAGAUACGGCCCAGACUCCUACGGGAGGCAGCAGUGGGGAAUAUUGGGCAAUGGGCGCAAGCCUGACCCAGCAACGCCGCGUGAAGGAAGAAGGCUUUCGGGUUGUAAACUUCUUUUAAGAGGGAAGAGCAGAAGACGGUACCUCUAGAAUAAGCCACGGCUAACUACGUGCCAGCAGCCGCGGUAAUACGUAGGUGGCAAGCGUUGUCCGGAUUUACUGGGUGUAAAGGGCGUGCAGCCGGGUCUGUAAGUCAGAUGUGAAAUCCAUGGGCUCAACCCAUGAACUGCAUUUGAAACUGUAGAUCUUGAGUGUCGGAGGGGCAAUCGGAAUUCCUAGUGUAGCGGUGAAAUGCGUAGAUAUUAGGAGGAACACCAGUGGCGAAGGCGGAUUGCUGGACGAUAACUGAUGGUGAGGCGCGAAAGUGUGGGGAGCAAACAGGAUUAGAUACCCUGGUAGUCCACACUGUAAACGAUGAAUACUAGGUGUGCGGGGACUGACCCCCUGCGUG